rnacentral:snRNA from 1 species
AUCGCUUCUCGGCCUUUUGGCUAAGAUCAAGUGUAGUCUCUGUUCUUAUCAGUUUAAAAGUCUCGUGGAGUUAAAACUAAAUGACUUUUGAAAUUAAAAAAAAAAAAAGAUUAAAUGAGAAUUCCAC